GCGCCUGCAGGUCUGAGAUCUGCAGUGCAGGCCACAGGCGGAGACCCAGGAGAGCCGGCGGUGCGGGUGGAGUCUGAGGGCGUUUCCGGGAGAAUUACUUCUUGCUCAGAGAGGCCGGGGUUGUUUUGCGUGAGCCAAGUUUUCUGAAGAUUCAUGAGAAGAACAAUUCUGCCUCUAAGGUGGGUUGAACUGACCUUGUUUCUGAGUUCCAGGACUGCUGACUCACUUGGGCUGGAGAAAGCAUUUGAAAGGGAAAGAGCUACUGGGGAACGGGGCAGGAUGUGACUUGAGGAGCCCGGGCUCUGCGGCCACGUGCUGUGUGGCCCUGCUCAGUUUCUCCCUAGUUCGAGUUCUCAGGCACGGCGUCCUGCAGGUGAGGGCUGCAGGGCCAGAAACCCUCCAAACCGUUGCUCUGCCGCUCACUGGCUGUGCCGCCCUGGCAGCCUACCCAAGCUUGUUGAGCCUCAGUUUGUCCAUUUCAGGGUGAUGCUGAUGGUCUUGACACCACAGGCUUAGUGUAAGAGUUAAAAGAGACAAUAAUUGGCAAAGGGCCUGCCCGGAAUCUGUGACAUAUUUUUGUAAUUAAUAAAUAAUGGCUCUAAGUAUUACCAAAUGGGGUAAUGAUUAUGAGCCCUGAAGUGGCUGUAAUUAUGAUGAGUUGUUGACUUUUAAAUUAAAGUCAUGGGGACUAACAAGAGUCUACUGUCAGUGCUGGCACGUAGAAAACCUAAUGGUCAGUCCUUGGAGGCUCUCACUCGGGAACAAAUUCCCGCCUGCUGCCAUUUCAGCACAGAAAGAGUAAGAUACACAUCUGUUUCCUGUCAGAGUGGGACUGACCCUCCCUCCAAGGACAGUUAGAAAAUGUAACAGCGAUAACAACGGGGACCUCUGUGUGGAGAUGUCGGAGAAGUAACGAGACAGUGAGGAAAUGGUGGGGCAGGAUCCAGGGAGGAGAGAGGCUCGGGGGGUCAAUGCAGCAUUUAGGGGUACUGUGAUUCUAGAGCACGCUUUCUGAGACACUGGCCGGGGGUUGACAACAUCGUGUGGCUAAGGGACGGGAGUCCAGGGCUGUGGUAGGCUGGACCCUAAAGAUAUCAGGUCCCGGUCUGUGGAAACUCGGACUGUUAGCUCGCAAGGCAGAAGGGACUUUGCAGCUGUGAUGAGGGGCCUUGAGAUGGGAAGAGCAUCUCCAUCAGCUGUGUGAACUCCAUAUGUGGUGACAGCCUCCUUGUGAGAGGGGCAGAGGGAGACUAGACCCUCCAGGGGGAAGCCACGUGACCACCGCAGUAGGAUGCAGUGCUGCUGGCUUUGAAGGUGGAGUGAGGGCCAGGGGCCCAGGAAUGUGGCCGUCUCUGGAAGCUGGGAAAGGCAAGGAGACAGAUGCUCCCUGCGGCCUCCUGAGGAAGUGCAGCCCUGCCCACUCCUUGGCUUUGGCCCAGUGAAAGGGAUGUUGAAUUUCUAGCUUCCAGAACCAUAGGAAAGUGAAUAUGUGUUGCUCUAAGCUACUAUGUGUGCAGUAGUUUGUUACAGCAGCCACGGGAAACCAAUGCAAGGACCCUCCAUGGGAAAGCUUGUCCUGGGAAACCUGCCAUGAGCUGGAACCCCGAGGGGCUGGACCGCAUCAGUGACAGUGAGCCAGAAGUGGACAGAUCCUUGCAGAUACUGCACUGUGGCAAAUAAUCUUAAUUGGUGAAGUUGUAGUGAGGCCAUCCUGGAUAGCCAGUGCCCCAGGCCACCAGCAGACAGAGACAGAGAUGACAUCAGACCACUUGCUCGGAGCAAAAGCCUUGGAGUCAUCCUGGAAUGGCAUCUUCCUCCCGUGCCCCACGCCUGAAUGGACAAAGACAUCUGCCUAGAAUCUGCCUGGAAACAGCUUCCCACUGCACUCAGACCAAAAGCCCAAGUCCUUGAUGGUUUACAAGGCCCUACGUGGCUCCGCCGCCAGCCUCCUCUCUGAUAGCGUCUCCUAUUCCCCUCCUCCUCGCUCACUUGCUCCAGCCACGGUGGCCUCCUUGCUGUUCUUAGGAAACAAGCAAUGCUCCCAUCUCAGGGCCUUUGUACCUGCUGCCUCCUUUGCUACGGUGGUUGAAAGUUUGUGUCUUCCCCAAAUUCAGCUGUUGAAAUCCUAGGCCCAAGGUGAUGGUUUUAGGAGUGGGGCCUUUGGGAGGCGAGGAGGUCGUGAGGACGGAGCUCACACUGAUGGGAUUAGUAUCCUUAUAAAAGCAGCCUGAGGGGGUGUGUUUGCUCUUUCCACUGUGAACAGAAAAUAUCUUGGGCCCCUCAAAUCACUAAGGAAAACUCCAGCUGGAAAGUGCUUAGGGCAAACCUGCCUCCCAUCUACUCAAAGUGAUCCCUCUGCUCACUGAGAUAGAUGCGUAUCUAAUUGCCUCCUUCGGAAAGCUAAUAACAAGCUCAAAAUAAUGCAACCCUUUGUGUCUCGCCUAUCUGUGACCUGGAAGCUCCCUCCCUCCCGGCUUGGAGUCUUCCUGUCUUUGCUUCAAGUCGUCCCACUUUUCCUGACCAAACCAAUGUACUUCUUACAUAUAUUGAUUGAUGUCUCAUGGCUCCCUAAAAUGUAUAAAACCACGCUGUGCCCGGACCCCCUUGGGCGUUUGUCGUCAGGACGCGCCCUCCUGAGGCUGUGUCCCAGGCACGCAUCCUCAACCUUGGCAAAAUAAACUUUCUAAAUUAACUGAGACCCGUCUCAGAUGUUCUGGGUUCACAUCACCAUGCCAGGCGACACAGUGGGAAGUCAGCAGUCCGCAGCCUCGGAGAAGGGUCCUCAUCAGAACGCGACCAUGCUGGCACCCUGAUCUUAUACUUCCCAACCUCCAGCAUUGUAAAGAAUAAGUGUAUCUUGUUUAUAAGCUGCCCAGUUUAUGGUAUUUUGUUAAAACAGCCUGAAGAGAAUAAGACAUCUGCCUAGAACACUCUUUCUCCAAAUAGGCACACGGCUUCUUCUCUCGACUCUUUGAGGUCUUUGUCAAAUGCCCUUUCUUCCCAAGGUUGCUGCCUUCUUGGGAUGUUUAAAAUGACUUCUUGUUUGAGCCUCUCCAGAAAGCAGAGUCUGAGGCUGGGAUUGCAGUGUUAAUGCUUCAUUUGGGAGGUGCAAGCCCCGGGUGGUGAGGAUGAGGGGGAGGGGACCCACAUGUUCCCAGUUGCAUAAUGAACUGCGAUGACCAUCCCCAAAGCACUCAGCCAUUGGGUCUGUGCAGCACACAGGAAUCCUGCAAGUGUUCGCAGGCAGGGAUCACAUUUGGGAGGCGUCCACAGGUGACAGCACACGGCGGGGGAUGCAUCUGUCCAGCUCUGUCAUCCCCUGUUUCUCACUGGUCAAGUUUCACCUCCAGGGAGCAAAUUCACCUGCAGGCCGGGGUCAUUUUCUCCAGCACCUGGCUGGCCCUUCGGCAGGCAGUGGGUGUGAUGUUUUAUCCAAGUGUGCAAGUGCAGGGCGACACAGGUGGGUGUCGACUGAGAGGGAGGGAGGAGACAGGCCAGG
rnacentral:lncRNA from 10 species